rnacentral:tRNA from 10 species
UGGAGAGGUGGCAGAGUGGUCGAUUGCGUCCGACUUGAAAUCGGAUGAGGCUAAAACCUCCGGGAGUUCGAAUCUCCCCCUCUCCGU